rnacentral:tRNA from 1 species
AGUCCGUUGGUCUAGUGGUAUGACGUUCGCUUCACAGCUGUUCCAUUUACAUGCGCGAAAGGUCCAGGGUUCGAUCCCCUGACGGACUA